rnacentral:rRNA from 1 species
UGGGGAAUCUUGCGCAAUGGGCGAAAGCCUGACGCAGCAACGCCGCGUGUGUGAUGAAGGCCUUCGGGUUGUAAAGCACUGUCAAGAGGGAAGAAAUGCCUUGGGUUAAUACCCCAGGGCUAUGACGGUACCUCUGAAGGAAGCACCGGCUAACUCCGUGCCAGCAGCCGCGGCAAUACGGAGGGUGCGAGCGUUGUUCGGAAUCAUUGGGCGUAAAGCGCGUGUAGGCGGGCGUGUAAGUCAGGUGUGAAAGCCCGGAGCUCAACUCCGGAACUGCGCUUGAAACUGCGCGUCUUGAGUACGGGAGAGGGAAGCGGAAUUCUUGGUGUAGGGGUGAAAUCCGUAGAUAUCAGGAGGAACACCGAUGGCGAAGGCAGCUUCCUGGACCGAUACUGACGCUGAGACGCGAAAGCGUGGGGAGCAAACAGGAUUAGAUACCCCCGUAGUCC